UGGUAAGGUUGUAUAUUUUUGCUUUGCAAUAUGAUUUGCAAUAAGAUUGUGUAAAAUGCUUUUUCAUUUCUUUUUUAGUGCCAUCAUCAUCUACUCCAACUGUGCCAUCAUCAUCUACUCCAACUGUGGCAUCUUCAUCUGUUCCAACUGUUCUUACAUAUGAAGACUAUUGCCAGUAUAGAGCUCACCACCCAGGACCACUGUCGCACGCUUCUUUUUUCCGUUGGUUGAGUUAUGGGGGGGG
rnacentral:lncRNA from 1 species